UACGUAGGGAGCAAGCGUUGUCCGGAAUCAUUGGGCGUAAAGCGCGCGUAGGCGGCCCUGUAAGUCCGUUGUGAAAGUCAAAGGCUCAACCUUUGAAAGCCGAUGGAUACUGCAGGGCUGGAGUCCGGAAGAGGCGAAGUGGAAUUCCUGGUGUAGCGGUGGAAUGCGCAGAUAUCAGGAGGAACACCAAUGGCGAAGGCAGCUCGCUGGAACGGUACUGACGCUGAGGCGCGAAAGCGUGGGGAGCGAACAGG
rnacentral:rRNA from 1 species